rnacentral:rRNA from 1 species
GGGCCCGCACAAGCAGUGGAGUAUGUGGUUUAAUUCGAAGCAACGCGAAGAACCUUACCAGGGCUUGACAUCCACAGGACCUGGCAGAGAUGCCGGGGUGCCCUUCGGGGAGCUGUGAGACAGGUGGUGCAUGGUUGUCGUCAGCUCGUGUCGUGAGAUGUUGGGUUAAGUCCCGCAACGAGCGCAACCCUUAUGGUUAGUUGCUACGCAAGAGCACUCUAGCCAGACUGCCGUUGACAAAACGGAGGAAGGUGGGGACGACGUCAAAUCAUCAUGCCCCUUAUGUCCUGGGCUACACACGUACUACAAUGGCGGUCAACAGAGGGAAGCAAAGCCGCGAGGUGGAGCAAAUCCCCAAAAGCCGUCCCAGUUCAGAUUGCAGGCUGCAACUCGCCUGUAUGAAGUCGGAAUUGCUAGUAAUCGCGAAUCAGCAUGUCGCGGUGAAUACGUUCCCGGGCCUU